rnacentral:rRNA from 1 species
CCUACGGGAGGCAGCAGUGGGGAAUUUUGGACAAUGGGCGCAAGCCUGAUCCAGCAAUGCCGCGUGCAGGAUGAAGGCCUUCGGGUUGUAAACUGCUUUUGUACGGAACGAAACGGUGAGCUCUAAUACAGUUUGCUAAUGACGGUACCGUAAGAAUAAGCACCGGCUAACUACGUGCCAGCAGCCUCGGUAAUACGUAGGGUGCGAGCGUUAAUCGGAAUUACUGGGCGUAAAGCGUGCGCAGGCGGUGAUGUAAGACAGAUGUGAAAUGCCCGGGCUCAACCUGGGACCUGCAUUUGUGACUGCAUCGCUAGAGUACGGUAGAGGGGGGUGGAAUUCCGCGUGUAGCAGUGAAAUGCGUAGAUAUGCGGAGGAACACCGAUGGCGAAGGCAAUCCCCUGGACCUGUACUGACGCUCAUGCACGAAAGCGUGGGGAGCAAACAGGAUUAGAUACCCUGGUAGUCCACGCCCUAAACGAUGUCAACUGGUUGUUGGGUCUUCACUGACUCAGUAACGAAGCUAACGCGUGAAGUUGACCGCCUGGGGAGUACGGCCGCAAGGUUGAAACUUAAAGGAAUUGACGG